rnacentral:rRNA from 1 species
UACAGAGGGGGGCAAGCGUUGUUCGGAAUUACUGGGCGUAAAGGGCGCGUAGGCGGCCUGCUAAGUCGAACGUGAAAUCCCUGGGCUCAACCCAGGAACUGCGUCCGAUACUGGUUGGCUUGAAUCCGGGAGAGGGACGUGGAAUUCCAGGUGUAGCGGUGAAAUGCGCAGAUAUCAGGAGGAACACCCGUAGCGAAGGCGGCACUCUGGGCCGAUACUGACACUGAGGAGCGAAAGCGUGGGGAGCGAACAGG